UGUGGCGAAGAAGCCUGUAGCCAGUGGAUCCCGGAACCAGAAGCUCAUCUCGGACGCGCUCCGCCGUGCGAACAGUGGACAGGAAUGCUGACGUGGCACGAUCGUGUAACUGGUUGACUUCGAGGGGGUGCCAUCCAAGUACCGACGGCCAUGGCAGCAGCACGCUCCUGUGCUUCUCGGUGCGCGAGAGAGAGAGACAGACAGAGGACCAGUGGGAGUUCACGUGGGCACCAGGCGCCAUGCCAGGCUUCCCAUUCCCAAUUAAUAUUGCGGAGCACUGGUCGGCAACAGUGGCACAUGGUAGAUCGGAAAAAGAAACAAAACAAUCAAUGCUCUUCGUUUUCCUAAUGAUCUCUGCACCGCGGCGAAACAGAGGAGAGUGGGCGGCAUGUGGAAGGGGCGAGCGGGCGGAUACGAGGAUCGGGUGGCGUGAUCACCCCCCUCUCUUCCUCCAUCAUCUCCUGGGAAUCCCUCCACAGGCUUCCGCGGCGUUUAAGGAAGGCUGCCCCAACCAUGCCUUUUCUCUUCCGUGCUCGAUGGGCAACAUCGAGGCUCUUCGGACAGGUACCAAGGCCGGUUCACAUGUCCCCUGUAGCACCAAGUACUCUCAAAGUGGCCUCCCCAUUUGCUCCGUGUUCAUCUCCUAGGUUUACUUCGUAAAGUACUCCUGUGUUUGGUUGCAUGUGUCUACGUCUAUUCCGUUAUAUUCUCUCCCAUACUACCAGCAAAAUCUAUUUACCAUGGAUUCAAUAGUUCAUCCACCAAGUGAGAAAAGUGUUCUUUAAAUGUGAACUGCAUGUGUUGACACAAAUAAAAAUCAAUGGAGUACAUGACACAA